UCAAUCCUCAAGCCUGUUUACAUGGAGAGGUGGCGAAUACCUUAAAUGUUACGAUCCUCAUGCCAAGUAGGAUAGAUUAGGAGAUGUGGUACAAAUGCAUGUAGAUACCAAGACUUGCAUGAUGUAAAUAUUUAAGUAUGUCAUACAUAGUAAAACCAAUUCAAAUCUGAAAGCUAUCUCAUGUUUCUUUGUCAAUCUUCAGGCCUGUUGACACGGAGAGGUGGCGAAUACCUUAAUUGGUAUGAUCCUCAUGUCAAGUGAGACAUGAGAGAUGGUAUAAAUGCAUGUAGAUACCAAGCUUUGCAUGAUGUAAAUUCUUAAGUACGUCAUACCUAGAGAUCUAGUAUCAUGGCUAUAUAUGGGAGUCACAUCAGUCUGUCCAUCUACAGUUAGGUCUCCUAAACUGCUCUCUAAAUUUUCAAAUAAUUUUACAUGCACAUCACCAUCAUGAGCGCAAGGAACACGUGCAUUUACAUGUAACUUUGACCUUCACCUUGACUUGAGAUACUUUUUAAAGUCAGUGUCUUCAGAAAAUAAGCAAUUUAGGUGCUUUAUGAUAUGAAGGUAUUCAUCACCUUCAGUGAUAGCUCUAGUUAUUUAAAUUUUAAAGAUUUAAUGACUGAAAUUGAAUCAUUUGAUACCAUUAAUGGCAUAAAAAGUUUAUUCAAUGAGUACUGUCUUGUUCUUAUAAUGCGAUCUACUUUUGUCAAUACGAUUGCUGUAGAACUGAUUGGACCUACAUAUUUACAACAGUUUAACUGUUUUGUUUCCUUUUUACAGUCCCAAUAUUAUUGCAAUUCGGUAGCAAAGGUGUUGACACCACAUGUCGUCUGAUGAUGAGUUUUACAGGAUCGAAUAAGGUUUGGUCAUUGUAUUCCCUGAAAGGAACAAGAGGAGAAAAGAAACUGGAAGACCUGCAUGCCUAUCCGCAGGCCAAUGCUGGCUGCAGGUCAAUAUUGAAUGCUCUUAUGAAAACUCAUAAGACAGUAACAAAAAAAAGAAGCUGAGGAUGCUGUUUUUAAAACAUGUUCCAUUCAAAAAUGGUGGAUUGAAAUUUAAGAAAGGUGUGACGGGUGCGGCUACUGCAGGCAGGGAGGAUUUGACGGUCAGCCAGAGGAUUUGGAGAUAUACUGUAAUGUCUUUAAUGUGGACUUGCGUGUGAUUUAAGUUUUCACAAGGGUUUUAGUGUGUGUGAAAGUAUGUCAGUUUUCAAAAUUGAGCUAUGACAAUUUGCUCAAACUACAUAACUCAAAGAACUUUGAAGCGGUCUUGUUGACGUCAUGAGCUUUUGUUUAAUACCAGUAUUGGUGAUAUAGGCCCAUGAUUAUAUACUGUAGAAAGUGAACAAGUUCACUGCUAGAUACAGAUAAUCAUAUGGCCUGAUCUCUGAAUGAUAUUUAUGAACCAAAAGAAGGCAUAAAAUAAAAACAUACUGUAGUGGUUUAAAUUAUUGAUAUUGUUAAACUAGAUCUGGGCCUGUAUUCAUAAAGGAUCUUAGUAAAUAAAUUUAUCUAUAACUUAAUAUUCUUCAAUUAACUCAAAAACUUUUCACGCUCUUUAAAUAUUUCACAGCAUGACUACAAACUUGUAUAUUAUACCAAAGAAAAAUAGAUUGGCAACUUGAAAGGCGUAUAGAGCAAAUCUCGCCAACAUCACAUGGCAACUGAAUGAGAUCUCGUUUUAGUAAGCAUAUUUGAUCACAAUUGAUCGUCAGCAAAUGCUUUGAAAUAAGAAAACUUGAUCGUUUGUGUAUAAUGCUAAUGGUACUUUUUUAAUAAUGUUAUCAGUACUUUCUACACAGGAAAGCAAUGAAUGUUUGAUUGGAAGUCUGAGAAAUCAACAGUUGUUGUAAAAUGGGCUCGAUUCGGUUUAUUACACGCCAGUGUAACAUUAAAUACUGACCACGUUGAAAUUUGACCCCAUAGAUCCUUUUCAACGUUGAGAAUUGACCCCGUCAACAUUUCUACAUCAAAUUUUGAUCAAAGGGUCAUUUUUCAACGUUGAGAAUUGACCCCGUCAACAUUUCAACAUUAAAUUUUGAUCAAAAGAUCCUUUUUCAGCGUUGAGAAAUGGCCCCACCAACAUUUCAACAUUAAAUUUUGAUCAAUGGGGUCAAUAUCUAAUGUUACACCGGCUGUACUGCCAGUUUAAUACUUCAGUAAGCAUCUGUUGAUUUGAUCACGACUGAUCAAAUCGGCAAACACUUUGAAAUAAUAUAACGUGAAAUAAUAUAACGCGCUAACACGAGCUGAUGCAAGACUCUCCAGUUGCCAUAUUACUGUCAAAUCGCCGAAUAGUGGAGCGCCCUGUCUUACAGACAGCUCUUUUUGUUGAGACCCCUUAGAAUAUUUCAAAUUUGUUGUCGCAAAUCUUCACUCUGAUGUGUUGCACACAAGUCGCAUCCAUAUAACCAUGGUCAAGGUCACACUUUGGUCAAAGGUCAAAAGAGAGUUGAUUCUAGCACAAUCUUUGUUUAUUCUUUUACUAUUUUUUAUCAGAAAAUCAAAUUAUUGAUCGUAUGCGUUACUUAAAUUUUGUUUUUCUCAAAAACUGUCAAAGGUAACCAUUUGAAACUUGGAAAACUUGUUCACUUUUACACAUUUUAUUCAUUGCAAUGCAGGUAACCCUGUGAUUUGUUUUUACAGAGGUAAUACCUCUUACUGCCUGUCAGUCUCCAAUUUCUCAAUACAAUGUAACAAGGUAUUUUUCUUCUUUACAGUGGUGACCUCAUUCUGCUGACAAGGUGACUUUCAAUGAUUUUUUUGUUGAGCUAUUGCACUUUUUCGACCUUAAAUUUUCAGUUGUUUUUUUUUCAAUCCAAUUACCCAGUAUCUUAUCAUAGGUAUUGACAUGAUACUAGACAUAAUUUAUUGUGAUGACUCAAUUUGUUAGACAAGAGGAGGUAACUCUAUCAAGGAUCAUUUUCUAAGAAUUAUUGCCCUUUUUAUACGCCCGUUUGAAAAAUUGGACGUAUUAUGGGAACGCCCCUGGCGGGCCGGCAGGUGAUGUCCGGAGCAUAUCUUCUUCAUGCAUGGAGGGAUUUUGAUGAAACUUGGCACAGUUGCUCACCAUCAUGAGACGGAGUGUCAUGCGCAAGAACCAGGUCACUAGGGCUGUUCAGAGUAUGUGCAUCCGUGCGUGUGUCCGGAUUUGAUUGUCCAGACUGUAACUUUGACAUGCAUGGAGUAAUCUCGUUUAUAUUUGGCAUGAAUGUUAACCUCAGUGAGACGGAGUCAUGUGCAAACCACAGGUUCCUAUCUCGAAGGUCAAGGUCACACUUAGAGGUCAAAGGUUAAAUUCAAUAAUGACUUUAUCCGGAGCAUUUCUUCUUCAUGCAAGGAUGAAUUUUGAUGAAGCUUGGCACAAUUGUUCACCAUCAUGAGAUGGAGUGUCAUGCGCAAGAACCAGGUCCCUAGGUCUAAGGUCAAGGUCACAAUUAGAGGUCAAAGGAUACAAGAAUGAAAACUUUGUUCGGAGCAUUUCUUCUUCAUGCAUGGAGGGAUUUUGAUAUUACUUGGCACAAAUGUUAACCACCACGAGACAGUGUCAUGCGCAAGAACCAGGUCCCUAGGUCUAAGGUCAAGGUCAUAUUAGAGGCUAAAGUUCAGACACAAGAAUAACAUUGUCCGAAGCAUUUCUUCUUCAUGCAUAGAGGGAUUUUGAUGUAACUUGGUACAAUUGUACACCAUCAUGAGACGGAGUGUUAUGCGCAGGUCCCUUAUUUAGAAUUACCUUCCUUUGUUGUUACUAUAAAUAGUUUAGGCCUAAAAAAAUUCUUUGUUUCCGGUAACAUGCUCAAAAAAAUUAGGGUAGGUAGGUCGGAAAAUAUAUUUUUUUUUGGAAUUUUUUUUUAUUAAGGGAGACUUUUCGGAAAUUAUUUUUGUGUCAAAAAAUGGAUACAAAUAAGGAGGUUAUGCCUUUAGAGCAUCAGUAAGUUGUUUUCUAACAUCACUGGCCAUGUUUUAAACAUAAAAAGUGCAGUUUUUCAACUUUUUGUUAAAAAGUUGAAAAAAAUAUUCUCAAAGGCCAUAAAAACAUUUAGGGUCGGGCCAAAAAUUUAGGGUAGGUAGGGAUACCGGAAACAAACAAUUUUUUUACGCCUAAUAUUGCAACUUUUUCAUUACUAGUAGUAGGGAAAAAUGGAGAUCACUUUUCUGUAGUGCAACAUGCAUGAUACAUCCAAUUCUGAGAUGUAUUUUGACCUGUCUCUACCUGGUAAGAUUUUUGUGUGGACUUGCAAU